rnacentral:rRNA from 1 species
GCGUGGGAACAUACCCUCCGGUUCGGAAUAGCUCAGGGAACUUGGAUUAAUACCGGAUACGGCCGAGAGGCGAAAGAUUUAUCGCCGGAGGGAUUGGCCCGCGUUUCGAUUAGCUAGUUGGUGAGGUAAUGGCCCACCAAGGCUAUGAUCGAUAGCUGGUCUGAGAGGAUGAUCAGCCACAUUGGGACUGAGACACGGCCCAAACUCCUACGGGAGGCAGCAGUGGGGAAUAUUGGACAAUGGGCGCAAGCCUGAUCCAGCCAUGCCGCGUGAGUGAUGACGGCCUUAGGGUUGUAAAGC